GCCGGGGUGGCGGAAUCGGCAGACGCACAGGACUUAAAAUCCUGGGAAGGGUGACCUUCGUGGGGGUUCAAGUCCCCCCCUCGGCA
rnacentral:tRNA from 1 species